rnacentral:rRNA from 1 species
UACAGAGGUCACGAACGUUGUCCGGAAUUAUUGGGCGUAAAGGGCGCGUAGGCGGCCACCGCAAGUCGACUGUGAAAUCUCCGGGCUUAACCCGGAAAGGUCAGCCGAUACUGCGGGGCUAGAGUGCAGAAGGGGCAACUGGAAUUCUCGGUGUAGCGGUGAAAUGCGUAGAUAUCGAGAGGAACACCUGCGGCGAAGGCGGGUUGCUGGGCUGACACUGACGCUGAGGCGCGAAAGCUAGGGGAGCGAACGGG